ensembl:snoRNA
CUGCAUGAUGGAAACUUGUCAUUCUUCUUUCUUCUGGGAGAAUGAAUAUUCCUUCAAUGCUAUAAAAAUCAAGGAGUUUUCAGGGCCACCUGCCUUGGAGUAGAGGCUGAGUGGUAGUAUAUUUCUCCUACAUUA